rnacentral:rRNA from 1 species
AUUGAACGCUGGCGGCAGGCCUAACACAUGCAAGUCGAGCGGAUGAAGGGAGCUUGCUCCUGGAUUCAGCGGCGGACGGGUGAGUAAUGCCUAGGAAUCUGCCUGGUAGUGGGGGAUAACGUCCGGAAACGGGCGCUAAUACCGCAUACGUCCUGAGGGAGAAAGUGGGGGAUCUUCGGACCUCACGCUAUCAGAUGAGCCUAGGUCGGAUUAGCUAGUUGGUGGGGUAAAGGCCUACCAAGGCGACGAUCCGUAACUGGUCUGAGAGGAUGAUCAGUCACACUGGAACUGAGACACGGUCCAGACUCCUACGGGAGGCAGCAGUGGGGAAUAUUGGACAAUGGGCGAAAGCCUGAUCCAGACAUGGCGCGUGUGUGAAGAAGGUCUUCGGAUUGUAAAGCACUUUAAGUUGGGAGGAAGGGCAGUAAGUUAAUACCUUGCUGUUUUGACGUUACCAACAGAAUAAGCACCGGCUAACUUCGUG